CGCGUAGGCGGGCGGUCAAGUCGGGGGUGAAAUCUUUCAGCUCAACUGGAAAAAGUGCCUCCGAUACUGACUGUCUUGAGGGAGGUAGGGGCAUGUGGAACUUCCGGUGGAGCGGUGAAAUGCGUAGAUAUCGGAAGGAACGCCGGUGGCGAAAGCGACGUGCUGGACCUCUUCUGACGCUGAGGCGCGAAAGCUAGGGGAGCGAACGGGAUUAGAUACCCCGGUAGUCCUAGCCCUAAACGAUGGGUACUAGAUUGUGGACUUGACAUGGGUUCACAGUCGAAGCGAAAGUCUUAAGUACCCCGCCUGGGGAGUAUGGUCGCAAGGCUGAA
rnacentral:rRNA from 1 species